rnacentral:rRNA from 1 species
GAUGAACGCUGGCGGCGUGCCUAAUACAUGCAAGUCGAGCGAACAGACGAGGAGCUUGCUCCUCUGACGUUAGCGGCGGACGGGUGAGUAACACGUGGAUAACCUACCUAUAAGACUGGGAUAACUUCGGGAAACCGGAGCUAAUACCGGAUAAUAUAUUGAACCGCAUGGUUCAAUAGUGAAAGACGGUUUUGCUGUCACUUAUAGAUGGAUCCGCGCCGCAUUAGCUAGUUGGUAAGGUAACGGCUUACCAAGGCAACGAUGCGUAGCCGACCUGAGAGGGUGAUCGGCCACACUGGAACUGAGACACGGUCCAGACUCCUACGGAAGGCAGCAGUAGGGAAUCUUCCGCAAUGGGCGAAAGCUUGACGGAGCAAAGCCGCGUGAGUGAUGAAGGUCUUCGGAUCGUAAAACUCUGUUAUUAGGGAAGAACAAAUGUGUAAGUAACUAUGCACGUCUUGACGGUACCUAAUCAGAAAGCCACGGCUAACUACGUG